rnacentral:rRNA from 1 species
CAGUGCCACGGUAAAACGUAGGUGGCAAGCGUUGUCCGGAAUUAUUGGGCGUAAAGGGCUCGCAGGCGGUUUCUUAAGUCUGAUGUGAAAGCCCCCGGCUCAACCGGGGAGGGUCAUUGGAAACUGGGAAACUUGAGUGCAGAAGAGGAGAGUGGAAUUCCACGUGUAGCGGUGAAAUGCGUAGAGAUGUGGAGGAACACCAGUGGCGAAGGCGACUCUCUGGUCUGUAACUGACGCUGAGGAGCGAAAGCGUGGGGAGCGAACAGGAUUAGAUACCCCAGUAGUCCCUGUCUCUUAUACA